GAGAUAAUAGUAUAAUUUUGAGUAUAUUUCUUUUUCGAAGAAGUGGCGGGUUAUCUUA
rnacentral:tRNA from 1 species